UGGCUCAAUGGUAGAGUGCUUGCCUCACAUGCAUGAGGCCCUGGGUUCAAUUCCUCAG
rfam:Dipodomys ordii contig_1218, whole genome shotgun sequence.